rnacentral:snRNA from 1 species
GUGCUUGCGUCAGCAUCACAUAUACUAAAAUUGGAACAAUACAGAGAAGAUCAGCAUGGCCCUGAACAAGGAUGACAGACAAAUUUGUGAAGUGUUCCAUAUUUUU